rnacentral:ncRNA from 1 species
AGUUGAAAAAGGCAAACUGACCGAAAGGACAGGACGCAAAGUUAUGGGUCUAAGGCAUUUUAUGCUAUGAUCGCCAAACUACCAAC